rnacentral:misc_RNA from 1 species
UUUCCGUUGGUGAACCUGCGGAAGGAUCAUUAAUGAGUUUUCACACCUUCCAAUCCUUGCGAACCGUACGCACUCUGUCCCCGUUGCUUCAGGCGGCGGUGACGGGGGGGCCCGAAACGGCCUCACACAUCCGCUCGUCGGGGGUGGCUGGCCCUACGCAACUUUCUCUCUCAACCACCUGGAACCGUUAGACGCUACACACCAAUUAAUCACAACUUUUAACAACGGAUCUCUUGGCUCUC